ensembl:miRNA dre-mir-130a-1 microRNA 130a-1
UGUCUGUCCAGUGCCCCUUUUAUAUUGUACUACUGAUAACCCAGUUAUUAAAGCAGUGCAAUGUUAAAAGGGCAUUGGCCAGGGA